UGGGGAAUAUUGCACAAUGGGGGGAACCCUGAUGCAGCAACGCCGCGUGGAGGAUGACACAUUUCGGUGCGUAAACUCCUUUUAUAUGGGAAGAUAAUGACGGUACCAUAUGAAUAAGCACCGGCUAACUCCGUGCCAGCAGCCGCGGUAAUACGGAGGGUGCAAGCGUUACUCGGAAUCACUGGGCGUAAAGCGCGCGCAGGCGGCCUUUUAAGUUGGAUGUGAAAGCCUACGGCUUAACCGUAGAACUGCAUCCAAAACUAUUGGGCUAGAGUGUGGGAGAGGAAGAUGGAAUUAGUUGUGUAGGGGUAAAAUCCGUAGAGAUAACUAGGAAUACCAAAAGCGAAGGCAAUCUUCUGGAACACUACUGACGCUGAGGCGCGAAAGCGUGGGGAGCAAACA
rnacentral:rRNA from 1 species